AUUGAACGCUGGCGGCAGGCCUAACACAUGCAAGUCGAACGGUAACAGAAAGCAGCUUGCUGCUUUGCUGACGAGUGGCGGACGGGUGAGUAAUGUCUGGGAAACUGCCUGAUGGAGGGGGAUAACUACUGGAAACGGUAGCUAAUACCGCAUAACGUCGCAAGACCAAAGAGGGGGACCUUCGGGCCUCUUGCCAUCGGAUGUGCCCAGAUGGGAUUACCUAGUAGGUUGGGUAAAGCCUCACCUAGGCGACGCUCCCUAGCUGGUCUGAGAGGAUGACCAGCCACACUGGAACUGAGACACGGUCCAGACUCCUACGGGAGGCAGCAGUGGGGAAUAUUGCACAAUGGGCGCAAGCCUGAUGCAGCCAUGCCGCGUGUAUGAAGAAGGCCUUCGGGUUGUAAAGUACUUUCAGCGGGGAGGAAGGGAGUAAAGUUAAUACCUUUGCUCAUUGACGUUACCCGCAGAAGAAGCACCGGCUAACUCCGUGCCAGCCGCCGCCGUAA
rnacentral:rRNA from 1 species